rnacentral:misc_RNA from 1 species
GCAAACUUGGUCAUUUAGAGGAAGUAAAAGUCGUAACAAGGUUUCCGUAGGUGAACCUGCGGAAGGAUCAUUACAGGGUUAUGCCGGAUAUGUUUUCUACUCUCUUGGGAGUGAACUCUAUCUCGGCAGCCAUGAUCAUCCCUUUGUGCAUAUAUUGAUAAUUUGAGGGUUUUGGUGGACCUCAAAAUCUGCCAUAAUCCUCCAAUAAACUCUUUUAACAAAUUUGACUGAGUGACAUUUUUGGUAAUAAAUACAACUUUCAACAACGGAUCUCUUGGCUCUCGCAUCGAUGAAGAACGCAGC